UAGCUUUCUGUUUGUAAUAACUAAUCUGAGAAGUGAGCCCUUCCUUCAAUGUUCCUUGUCUUUCCUCCAGCAGGUGCUGUCAGUGUGUCACUGUGCGGAAUCAUAGCACACUACCGGCUUCUUACUGCUUCUAUCUAUAAAUUCAUGUUACAGUAUUCUAAAAAUGCCGAUAAUAAAUAAACACACUGCAUAUUAGAUAUUUUAUAUAGACACGCUGUUAUACAUUUAUAAUGCAGAAUUCUCAAUAAAC